GGCGGAUGGGUGAGUAACACGUGGGCAAUCUGCCCUAAAGACUGGGAUACCACUUGGAAACAGGUGCUAAUACCGGAUAACAACAUGAAUCGCAUGAUUCAAGUUUGAAAGGCGGCGCAAGCUGUCACUUUAGGAUGAGCCCGCGGCGCAUUAGCUAGUUGGUGGGGUAAAGGCCUACCAAGGCAAUGAUGCGUAGCCGAGUUGAGAGACUGAUCGGCCACAUUGGGACUGAGACACGGCCCAAACUCCUACGGGAGGCAGCAGUAGGGAAUCUUCCACAAUGGACGCAAGUCUGAUGGAGCAACGCCGCGUGAGUGAAGAAGGUCUUCGGAUCGUAAAGCUCUGUUGUUGGUGAAGAAGGAUAGAAGCAGUAACUGGUCUUUAUUUGACGGUA
rnacentral:rRNA from 1 species